rnacentral:rRNA from 1 species
UACGUAGGUGACAAGCGUUGUCCGGAUUUACUGGGCGUAAAGAGCGCGCAGGCGGUCGAUCAAGUCGAGUGUGAAAGCCCCCGGCUCAACUGGGGAGGGUCAUUCGAUACUGAUCGACUCGAAGGCAGGAGAGGGUAGUGGAAUUCCCGGUGUAGUGGUGAAAUGCGUAGAUAUCGGGAGGAACACCAGUGGCGAAGGCGGGUCUCUGGGCCGAUACUGACGCUGAGGAGCGAAAGCGUGGGGAGCGAACGAGG